UGGAGUUGAGCGGCCCGCCUGGGCCACUAUGAAGACUCCGCGUACGCCAGUGGCUAAGG
rnacentral:snoRNA from 1 species